AAGCAGGUAUUGAUAAACAAAAAACGAAUGGUUAUUUGAUUUUCGUUUUCAAAGGCAAAAAUUAAAAUUGAAAUACAAGGCGUUUUUCCUUUUUCACGAUCAAAAAUGGAUAUACGAAUUUUAAAAAAUGCUUUGAUUUUCAUUUUUAUUUACAAAAACAGAAAAUAAAAUAAGUCAGAGACAGAAACGAAAUAAGAACCGUUUUUCAUUUUCUGCGACCGGAAGUGGUCAUCAGCAAGGGUGGUCAGAUUGAAUCAGAGCCGAGGACUCUCUGUCCCGCCCACAUUUACCGGCUUCUGCUGUUUAUGGACGCUGCUACCAUAGAUAUAUACAAAUUGUUUGUAUAUAUCUAUGGCUGCUACCGCUGCUGCUAACAACGUUAGCUUCCAAAAGUGGAGAUAAACUCUACAGCCUUGGUCUGGAUCAUUGGGAACAUCUGAUCUGAUGGACUGAGAGCUACAGAGAACAUGAACAUCUAGCUGUGGUUGUCUGAACAGUCUUCUCUCCAUCACUGUGAGGAAGAGCAGCGCUGAUGUUCUCCUCAUCCUUCCAUUAAGAACAAUGAUGCUGCAGAUUAAGCUCCUCUCUUCAUAAUAUUUGUCUUGUGACUGUUCAGUUUUUACACUUCACUGUCAGCAACACAUUAUUUAUUUCAUCCAUUUAUUACAUGUUUACACAUCUUUACAGUUCACAAUUGUUAAAUAAUGCAGAUUUUAAAUGUGCAAUGAAGGAAAUAAUGAAGCUCUUGAGCUGAACGUGUUGAUGUUUUAAUGCUGCAUAUCUGCUAUAAAUAACAUUGUACAGGGUUUCUGCAGAUAUCAGUCAGUCAAAUUUAAUGCUUUUUAAUGCCAUUUUUAUGCUAUACUGUAAAAAAAUUUAAUGCCACGACCAUGAACUCAAAUUACACGGGUUUGUUUUUUUUGUAAAAGAUUAUUUUUAUAUGAAAACCCUACAUUUGACUAUUUCUGAAUCUGGGAACCACCCCUGAACACCAACGGGCUGCAGUCAUUCUCUGAAAUCCACGUUUUUCAGCCAUUUUUGCUGGAAUUUGUGUUUCCCCAUUUCCCAGCCUGGUCCAGCCUGCCAGCCACUUUAAAAACAUGCAGUUUUUAGAAAUUGUACCCACCCGGCUGGAACAAUUAUCUCAAUGCUUCAGCAUGUUUACGCAGAUGCACAUACCUGACAAAUCGCAGUCUAUAAAUAUAUUAUUGUCAAUUAUUUUCUUGAAAACUGCAGAAAGAAAUUUUAAUGCCACCGAGAAUCAAAUUUAAUGAUUUUUAAUGCCAUUUAAGGCCUUAAUUUCUGCAAAAUCAACUUAAUGACUAUUAAUGUUCUGCAGAAACCCUGUUGUAUUUCUGCUACAGCAGCAGAGAUGAAGUUAAAAGUGAUAAAUAGAAUCUGUGAAUACUAAGAACAGAGAAUAAUAAACUGCUGAAAGAGUU